UCCGGUUUGUCACCGGCGGUCUCCUUAGAGUUCCCACCAUUACGUGCUGGCAACUAAGGACAAGGGUUGCGCUCGUUGCGGGACUUAACCCAACAUCUCACGACACGAGCUGACGACAGCCAUGCAGCAUCUGUGGUGCACCCUCGAAGGUCACACGUUUCCGUGCGCUUGCAGCACCAUGUCAAGUCCAGGUAAGGUGGGGAUGACGUAAGGAAUGUCGAUA
rnacentral:misc_RNA from 1 species